UGAUGAUGAUUAUGAUGAUGAUGAUGAUGAUGAUGAUGAUGAUGAUGAUGAUGAUUAUCAUCAUCAUCAUCGUCACCAUCAUCAUCAUCAUGUUGA
rnacentral:pre_miRNA from 1 species